rnacentral:rRNA from 1 species
GAUGAACGCUGGCGGCGUGCCUAAUACAUGCAAGUCGAGCGAACAGACGAGGAGCUUGCUCCUCUGACGUUAGCGGCGGACGGGUGAGUAACACGUGGAUAACCUACCUAUAAGACUGGGAUAACUUCGGGAAACCGGAGCUAAUACCGGAUAAUAUAUUGAACCGCAUGGUUCAAUAGUGAAAGACGGUUUUGCUGUCACUUAUAGAUGGAUCCGCGCCACAUUAGCUAGUUGGUAAGGUAACGGCUUACCAAGGCAACGAUGCGUAGCCGACCUGAGAGGGUGAUCGGCCACACUGGAACUGAGACACGGUCCAGACUCCUACAGGAGGCAGCAGUAGGGAAUCUUCCGCAAUGGGCGAAAGCCUGACGGAGCAACGCCGCGUGAGUGAUGAAGGUCUUCGGAUCGUAAAACUCUGUUAUUAGGGAAGAACAAAUGUGUAAGUAACUAUGCACGUCUUGACGGUACCUAAUCAGAAAGCCACGGCUAACUACGUG